rnacentral:rRNA from 1 species
GAUGACGGGCUUUAGGGUUGUAACCUCUUUUAGCAGGGAAGAAGCGAAAGUUGACGGUACUUGCAGAAAAGCCCGGCUUACUUACGUGCCAGCAGCCGCGGUAAUACGUAGGGCGCAGCGUAUUCCGGAAUUAUUGGGGCGUAAGGAGCUCGUAGGACGGUUUGUCGCGUCUGCUGUGAAAUCCCAGAGACUCAACCUCGGGCCUGCAGUGGGUACGGGCAAGACUAGAGUGCGGUAGGGGAGAUUGGAAUUCCUGGUGUAGCGGUGGAAUGCGCAGAUAUCAGGAGGAACACCGAUGGCGAAGGCAGAUCUCUGGGCCGUAACUGACGCUGAGGAGCGAAAGGGUGGGGAGCAAACAGGCUUAGAUACCCUGGUAGUCCACCCCGUAAACGUUGGGAAACUAGUUGUGGGGACCAUUCCACGGUUUCCGUGACGCAGCUAACGCAUUAAGUUCCCCGCCUGGGGAGUACGGCCGCAAGGCUAAAACUCAAAGGAAUUGACGGGGACCCGCACAAGCGGCGGAGCAUGCGGAUUAAUUCGAUGCAACGCGAAGAACCUUACCAAGGCUUGACAUAUACGAGAACGGGCCAGAAAUGGUCAACUCUUUGGACACUCGUAAACAGGUGGUGCAUGGUUGUCGUCAGCUCGUGUCGUGAGAUGUUGGGUUAAGUCCCGCAACGAGCGCAACCCUCGUUCUAUGUUGCCAGCACGUAAUGGUGGGAACUCAUGGGAUACUGCCGGGGUCAACUCGGAGGAAGGUGGGGAUGACGUCAAAUCAUCAUGCCCCUUAUGUCUUGGGCUUCACGCAUGCUACAAUGGCCGGUACAAAGGGCUGCAAUACCGUAAGGUGGAGCGAAUCCCAAAAAGCCGGUCCCAGUUCGGAUUGAGGUCUGCAACUCGACCUCAUGAAGUCGGAGUCGCUAGUAAUCGCAGAUCAGCAACGCUGCGGUGAAUACGUUCCCGGGUCUUGUACACACCGCCCGUCAAGUCAUGAAAGUCGGUAACACCUGAAGCCGGUGGCCCAACCCUUGUGGAGGAGCCGUCGAACGGUUGAUUGCAUGUC